AGUGCAAUUGUUGUGUGGUUAAGUGUAUAUUUAGUUUUUUAAGAAACCAUCAAACUGUUUUCCAGAGUAGCUCUACCAUUUUACAUUUUCAUUAGCAAU
rnacentral:pre_miRNA from 1 species